GACGAACGCUGGCGGCGUGCUUAACACAUGCGAGUCGAACGGAAAGGCCCUGCUUUUGUGGGGUGCUCGAGUGGCGAACGGGUGAGUAACACGUGAGUAACCUGCCCUUGACUUUGGGAUAACUUCAGGAAACUGGGGCUAAUACCGGAUAGGAGCUCCUGCUGCAUGGUGGGGGUUGGAAAGUUUCGGCGGUUGGGGAUGGACUCGCGGCUUAUCAGCUUGUUGGUGGGGUAGUGGCUUACCAAGGCUUUGACGGGUAGCCAGCCUGAGAGGGUGACCGGCCACAUUGGGACUGAGAUACGGCCCAGACUCCUACGGGAGGCAGCAGUGGGGAAUAUUGCACAAUGGGCGGAAGCCUGAUGCAGCAACGCCGCGUGCGGGAUGACGGCCUUCGGGUUGUAAACCGCUUUCGCCUGUGACGAAGCGUGAGUGACGGUAAUGGGUAAAGAAGCACCGGCUAACUACGUG
rnacentral:rRNA from 1 species